GUUCUUUCAUCAUACCUGAGCACUAUAACACCAUUUUAGAUUGUAUACCCAUAGCACAAGGAAGUUCUCUAAUGGAGGACACAUCAAAAAUUCGUUCUCUUAGAUGAUCAUUUAUCAACUGAAAAGUGUUUUGGCGAGAAGUCAUAUGGUAAAUGCGAGCUAAAUACCUGCAGCGACCAUGGCAGGCAGAUCUUCACCAACAGCUCCAGGGGGCCCACCUUCUCUUUCAGACCUGAGGGUUGUGCUGCUGGGGAAAGCUGGAGCUGGUAAGAAUAAAGUAGCCAGACUCCUACUGGGACGAAAAGACCUUAAGGAAGCUCGUGACCGUUGUGUUUUACAUGAUGAUAAACAUGAAAAAAGGAGAAUCUGGGUGGUGGACACGCCAGGAUGGGACAGAUAUUCCAUACAUAAUACAUUAGAGAAUAUUAAAGAGGAAAUCAUGAGAAGUGCAACCCUUUGCCCCCCAGGACCCCAUGUGGACAAUUAUGGUUUCUUCCUGCCACAGAUUUACUAUGAUAUGAUACAUAUGAUACAAACCCCACAGCCUGAAGACACAGAGGUGAAGGAGAAUAAAAAGCACUUUGAAGAACAGUCACAGGAGAAGACAGAGCUUCGGCACAGACGUGGAAGUUUCCCAAUCGACAGACCACACUUGAAUGAAGAAAAAGGGACUUCGGGGAAUCAGACGGUGGGUGGUGAUGUUACCAAGCACCAGAAUCAGGACGACGACUGUGCAUUGCCACGGAAUUACCUUCCUCCAGCAAUGGUUAUACUAUUUGUUGUUAUUGGAACACUUAUAGGCUCAGUGGCAGGAGCUGCAUAUGGACCACUGGGGGCAGGUCUUGGGAUUGUUAUUGCAUUCGUGAUAUCAGUUUUAUUCUCUAUUUUGCUGAUUUAUGCCCUAAAAUUGGCAGGAUGGAGAACAAUAUUAAUUUUUUAAUUAAGGGUUAAUGAGGCUCUCUAUGUCAAAAGAAAAAUUUUAAAUAUAAAAAUGUAAGAUGUAUUAGAGCAAUGUUAGAGCAGAUUUUGGUGGUGGAUCAGCAUUUACAUUAUUGAAAAAUGUACGUAUAUAUAUGACGAAUAAGUGAGUGAGGGAAGACAGGGGGGGCAGGACACAACACUUUGCACAAUUGUUGGGAGUGUGGUUAUAUGCUAGAGUGAUACUGACCAGAAAAUAAAUAAGACAGAUUUGAAACACUCUUGUCAAAUGUAGAACAUAAAUCUAACAAUUCCUAAACGUUUAGCCGUGCUGGGCAGCUCCACUCUUCUGCCCAGUGAUGGUUUUCCCAAAACAGCUCAGAUCACAUUUUCCUGGUGUUUAUGAAGCACUGACAAAAUAAUUAAGACUCAGACCUGAGCAAUUAAGCAAAAUUGAUGUACUAAAAUGUAUAUUAAUAUAGAUAUUAAUGGACGAAUUACAAAAUAGUCAACAAGACUUCUCUGGUUAGCCUGGAAAUGUUUGGUCUCUAAAUUCUGCUUCUUUAAUGAGCUAAUGUUGCUAACAAGUACUAGAAGCAUAUUUCCCACCAAUUAGCAUCAUGAAAGGUGCCUACCUGUGUGUCUUCUUAAUAAAGCUCCAUGGCAUUUAUAAUCAGCUUAUCAGAGCAUUUUGACUUUAUUAUAGAGUCCAUUCUUUUCAGGAGACUUGCUUUCAGUUUUGUAAAGAAAUCUGCAGGGAUUUUUCCUACACCUCCAAAAUUCAGUCUUAGAAGUUACUUUUGCAUUUUCUGCUUCUCAUAAUCCAAAUAGUCAAAUCAGUCUAUACAACCAUACUCCAUGUCUCAGAUUUACAGUUUCAGUUUUCUAGUGCAAAAGUUCCUCUUUGUGUCUGUCUCCUUUGCUCAGUGAGGCUUCUUGACAGCUACACAUCCUUUCAGACCCAUAGUGCUGAGUUGCCUUAUCACAAUGGAAGGAUGAUUUUACUAUACAUCAUUCAGGUGUUGAAAAAUUGAGUAGUUUUAUUUUAUGUUUUAUUUUGUUUUCGACUUUUAUCUCUGGGGUCAUCUAAAAAAAUCGUGUAUGCUGAGAAAAUCCAUAAUAAACACUAAACACAAAAAAAUCAAAUGAAAUAAAACAGU